UACAGAGGUCUCAAGCGUUGUUCGGAUUCAUUGGGCGUAAAGGGUGCGUAGGUGGCGCCGUAAGUCAGGUGUGAAAUUUCGGAGCUUAACUCCGAAACUGCAUUUGAUACUGCGGUGCUUGGGGACUGGAGAGGAGACUGGAAUUCACGGUGUAGCAGUGAAAUGCGUAGAUAUCGUGAGGAAGACCAGUGGCGAAGGCGGGUCUCUGGACAGUUCCUGACACUGAGGCACGAAGGCCAGGGGAGCAAACGGG
rnacentral:rRNA from 1 species